rnacentral:pre_miRNA from 1 species
AAAAUGUCCCCUAAGUUUUGUAACUGUAGCAGUUUUGGCUCCUCAAGGCCAAUUUUUGGUAAAAAAAAAUAACACGUGGCACCUCACUUAGGGUGCCACGUUAGUGUAGACGGAGUCAAAAUUGGCAUUGGCGGCCAAAACUGCCACAGAUGCAAAACUUAGGGGGGUUUU